rnacentral:rRNA from 1 species
UACGGAGGGUGCAAACGUUGCUCGGAAUCAUUGGGCGUAAAGCGCACGUAGGCGGUCCGGCAAGUCGGAUGUGAAAGCCCUCGGCUCAACCGGGGAAGUGCAUUCGAAACUGCCGAACUUGAGUAUGGAAGAGGGUCUCGGAAUUCCCGGUGUAGAGGUGAAAUUCGUAGAUAUUAGGAAGAACACCAGUGGCGAAGGCGGCUCACUGCUCCGGCACUGACGCUGAGGCGCGCAAGCGUGGGGAUCAAACAGG